rnacentral:rRNA from 1 species
AACGAACGCUGGCGGCAGGCCUAACACAUGCAAGUCGAACGUGAAGCAGGAGCUUGCUCCUGUGGAAAGUGGCAGACGGGUGAGUAACGCGUGGGAAUUUACCCAGCUCUACGGAAUAACGCAGGGAAACUUGUGCUAAUACCGUAUACGUCCUCCGGGAGAAAGAUUUAUCGGAGUUGGAUGAGCCCGCGUUAGAUUAGUUUGUUGGUGGGGUAAUGGCCUACCAAGACUACGAUCUAUAGCUGGUCUGAGAGGAUGAUCAGCCACACUGGGACUGAGACACGGCCCAGACUCCUACGGGAGGCAGCAGUGGGGAAUAUUGCACAAUGGGCGCAAGCCUGAUGCAGCCAUGCCGCGUGAGUGAAGAAGGCCUUAGGGUUGUAAAACUCUUUCAUCGGUGAAGAUAAUGACGGUAGCCGAAGAAGAAGCCCCGGCUAACUCCGUG